UCCUACAGUACCGUCAGCCCCCGACACGUCGGGGGAGUUCUUCCUGCAGAAAAGCAGUUUACAACCCAUAGGGCCGUCAAUCCUGCACGCGGCAUGGCUGGGUCAGACUUGCGUCCAUUGCCCAAUAUUCCCU
rnacentral:rRNA from 1 species